UUCUUAUUUCACAGUAAAUUGUUUCUGUCAUUAAUAGAUGAUUAGAAAUAUGCUAUUUAAAAUAUCUGUGGCUUAUGAUUUUCAAACUAAUGCCAGAAAGGUCAGAUUCAGUUUUUACUUUUACUAUUAUCUUCUCUGAAAAUGUAGUUGAACAAGGUGACUUGUCUUUGGGGACAUUUUCUUCAUAGAAUAUAAAGACUAAUUAGAACAUAAUAGUUGAGAUUUCUAUACUUUUAGACAUAGAAAUUUGAUCAGACACCAGUUGAGUGAGUUAUCUCCACUAAGUUUCUUAUUUUGGGGGGGAGGCGUCUAGCUCUUGGAUGAAAGUAUAGACAUUAUCAAAGUAUAGUUUUAGAAAUCUGUUGGGAUUUUCCAGGGCAAUAAAAGACUGUGAGAGAGCUAACAGUUUUCUGUACAUGAUAUAAACAAAUAGUUUUAAGAUUGUUAUUAUUCUAGGUAAAGCUCAAGGAUCUGGCCCGUCAGCACUUGAGUCUGAGUUCCUGCAUAGCUGUAGACUUAAUAGGUGACUUGCCAAAAUAAAGCCUUUUUCCACAGGGUAAAUCUUAAAAGAAACACCUGUUGUUCACAUAUUCGAAAUGUUAUUUGAAGCAAAAGAUGCUUACAGUUAAAAGCCAUAGAAGCAAUACAAAAAGUGUUCUUUUUUUUUGAGUCGGAGUUUCGCUGUUGUUACCCAGACUGGAGUGCAAUGGCACGAUCUCGACUCACCGCAACCUCCGCCUUCUGGGUUCAAGCAAUUCUCCUGCCUCAGCCUCCCGAGUAGCUGGGACUACAGGCGUGCACCACCAUGCCUAGCUAAUUUUUGUAUUUUUAGUAGAGAUGGGGUUUCACCUUGUUGACCAGGAUGGUCUUGAUCUCUUGACCUCGUGAUCCAUCUGCCUCGGCCUCCCAAAGUUCUGGAAUUAUAGGCGCGAGCCACCGUGCCUGGUGAUCAUUUUUGUUAAUCUCCUUUUCUCAUUUUAAAGUAGUUUAUUAUAAGGUUUCAUAUCUGAACAAAAAAGGAUGAAAAUUGAAACUGCUAGAGUCAAGCAAAUUAAAUAAUCAUCAAAUUGAAAUAAGAUUUCAUUUCAUUCAUCUCUGAUCAUACUCCUAGACAAAGGCCAAACCAUAUUAAUUUAAAUCUGUUUAUGGGUAAAGGCAUUUUGAAUCUGAAAACGAUUGGAAAGAAAUAUUACCACUAAUUAUAGUAAAUUUACUGUAUCACAUCCUGAAAUAAUCACUUAUUUUAACAACAUAGAGAGGUGACUUUACAGACCCAAAUAAGAAAAUCUUGAAUUACAUAAUUAUUUGUUAAUUAGAACCCUUUAAAUGGAUUGUUAAAUUUAGUUUUCAGAACAGUCCUAUCCUUAUUGGUAGAGAACUGUGGAGACAUCUAAUUUCAAUUCUCCCUUGUAAUAGUGCCUUUACUUCCAGAGAACCAAAUCUGGAGAUUUUAAAUGCUAAUUCAUGUUUAUAUUUGUGUAGACAUUUGAUCCUUAUAUAAUUGAGUACUUUCCAGCAAAUGAUUUUAUUUGUAAAAAUUUACUGUUUCACAUUUAAAUUUGAUACAUCAUAAAAAUCACAAAUACAGCACUACUUAGGGUUUACUUUGGCACUGGAAGAAAUAAUUAUGUGGUGCUUAUAAAGUCAUCAAUAAAGGCUCUGCUGUUAUUGAUGCCCAGCAAUGAAUAUAUAUUAAGAUCCAAUUAAAAGUUAGGGGUUGUUCUGAAGUAAAGUUUUAAUUAGACCAACAGAAUGCUAUUUCUAGUGGGUCUGUUUAAAAAACAUAAUAAUCUUUGUUCAUGAUUUGUUUAUAUAUAAUUAAUAGACAGGCUUUUCUUAAAAGGCAGCCAGAAUGGAAUUUUAAGAACGCAUUUCCUUUGUUUUAGAUAUAUUUGUAUUUAAGAAGGCAUUUCCUCUGUUUUAGAUAUAUUCGUAUUUAGCUGUAAGGCAGCAGAUUGGGGAUAGUGAAUUUAAGGAGGAUGGUAGUCUUAAUUCCUUAGAGAGCUCACCAGUUCUUUGUGUCGGAGAAGUCUUUCCUCUCUUCCUCUUUUCUUUUCUGUCCUUUAGACCUUAGGCUUAUAACAUUGAUUAUAUUUCUCAGGUCGAAGUACAUCAUCAUCACUGGUCUAUACAAGAGUCUUCUCUUAUUUUUUCUCAGUUUUUUUUAAUCCAGCCCCACCCUUAUCCCAACCAUAUUUAAUGCUUCUUACAUACUUUUAGUUAUGUAUUUAUCUUUGAAAAACAGGCAGUGUUAUUUGUGUGUCUAUUUUUAAUUUUUUUAAGUGGUAUCAUGCUAUAAAUUUUAUUGAUUCUUUUUCAUUCCAUGCUAUUUUAAGAUCUAUCCACGGUUUUAUAUGUACAUCUAGUUCAUAGAUUCCUAUUGUCAGCUAGCCUGGGUGUCAGUAGGAAUAUAGCACAUUUUCUAUUGUGUACUCUAGGUCCCUGUCUCUGUUGCUGGAGGUGAAGAAUAGAGUCAAAUGGAGGGAAUAAGUGGAAGCAGAAUGUCACAGGACUGAUUACUUCUAGAUAGCUCUAGAAAUUGAUCAUCAGGAUUUUUUUUUUGGUAGCGCAGAGAUUGUAUGUUGAAAGAUUGUCAGAUCAUUAGUUAGGGUCUCCUGAGAAGUAGAUAGGAUUAGACUUGCAAAAGAUAUAAUGGGCAAAGGAGCAGGGGAAGGUAGGAAUUCUUCAGACCACAAUGCAGAUCUGAUACCUGAGGAAGGAGAGAAGGAUGGAAGGAUUGAAUAGAGAGAACCUCAGACUAUGGUACAGUUCAAAGAAAUGUUCUGCCAGGUUGGUGGGGAGCCCCUGAGCCAAAGUCACCUGUUGGAGGAGUUCUGCAUCUGACUUGUAUUGUGUUUCCCUAGUGUCCAUUGUCAGCCACCAAAAGCUUUGCUCUGCUCCCUGACACAUUGGAAGCUGUCCCAGAGAUCUCUCCUGUACAGACCAAAGCAAAGAUUUUGCCUUUUGAUUCACAGGAGCAAUAUAUGUGAAGGAUAUAUUUUUUGUUUUCUGUACAGUGCUUCGUUUUAGGGGAAGGAAUUAGUGAAUUGAUAUGAUGAGAUAGAUGGGUUAGUAGGUUGUCAUUAGGAAAUGUAGCAAAAUAAAUAUGCACCCAGGUUAGUUGACCUGUGGCUGAUGAGCAGCAAACAGGUCAUUACAAAUAUAGAAAGGUUUGAACAAGGGCUUCUUCAAAUAAAAAAAAUUUGAAGGCCAUAAUUAGAAAUAAAGUGUAACUUACAGAGGAAGAAUACAUUUUUAAGACAGGCAGCAGUUGGGAUAGAUGGAAUUUGGUCUAAGUAAUAAAAUGCACCAUCCUGUGAGGGAAUCAGUUUAACAACAUUGGCAUCUUGAGAAGGGACUAGGAGCAUUAUACAAUUAACAAUGAUCAUUUUAAACCUGGGCUACAUUGUGACACCCUUUCUCUAACAAAAUAAAAUAAAAAAUUAGCUAGGUAUGCUUGUGCAUGCCUGUAGUCCCAGCUACUCAGGAAACGUGAGGCAGGUAGAUCACUUGAGCCCAGGAGUUUGGGGUUACAGUGAGCUGUGAUUAUGCCACUGUACUUCAGUCUAAGCAACCAAGCAAUAUCCAGUUUCUAAAAAACAAACAAAACAAUAAUCAUCUUAAAGGAGCAUUUGUCAGUUGAGAAGGAGUAUUUUUUUUUUUUUUUUGAGAAGGAGUUUCCCUCUUGUUACCCAGGCUGGAGUGCAAUGGCGCGAUCUCGGCUCACCGCAACUUCCGCCUCCUGGGUUCAGGCAAUUCUCCUGCCUCAGCCUCCUGAGUAGCUGGGAUUACAGGCACGCACCACCGUACCCAGCUAAUUUUUUGUAUUUUUAGUAGAGACAGCGUUUCACCAUGUUGACCAGGAUGGUCUCAAUCUCUUGACCUCGUGAUCCACCCGCCUUGGCCUCCCAAAGUGCUGGGAUUACAGUUCUGGAGGCUGAGAAGUCCAAAUCAGAGUGCCAGCAUGGUCACAGAUUCUCCUGAGUUGCACACUGCUGACUUCUUAUUGUGCUCUCACCUAAGAGAAAAGAAGGCCAGGUGAAGACACAGACCACAGAGGGAAGGUCACAUGAUGACAAGUGGCAGAGAUUGGACGGAUGCAGCUGCAAGCCAAGGAACACCGAGGAUUGCCAGUCACCACCAGAAGCUGAAAGAGGCAAAGAAGGAUUGUUCCUGAGAGCCUUCAGAAGGAGCAUGGCCUGCUGACACCUUAAUUUUGGACUUCUAGCCUUAUGAACUUUGAGAAAAUAGUUUUCUGUUGUUUUAAAUCACCCAGUUUGUGGUAAUUUGUUAAAGCAACCCUAGGAAAUGAUUACAGCUACUGUUAGGGAGGGGCCAGUAUUAUACCCCAAGUUAUACUACAGCAAGUGAUCCAGAGCAGGACUUGACAACCAAAAGUGAGAAAUAAGAUUGGAGUUGAAGGACAAAGCCAAGAAUUUGGAGAAUUGGGCAGUGACAAGAAGAGGGGGUGGUGCAGGUCAGGAAAAGUUAGAAGGGUGUCAGGAGUUGCUACAAACAGCCAUUGGACAGAGGCAGGGAAUGUCAAAAAUAGGAUUCUUGAGUGGUACUACAUAUUUUCUUGCCUUAUCUUAUUUACACCUAAUGUAUAUAUUGUCAUUAUUCUAUUCUACAAACCGGGAAACUAAGUAACUUGCACAAGGUUAUGCCAAUGGUGGCAGAGCAGAGUUUAGGUCUUCUGACUUGAGAGCCAGACUCUCAACCAGAAAAUAUUACACGGCUUCCAGUGAAUGAGUCUGUUUUCCACUUUUUGACCUGGAAUAUUGUAAAGGCUCCCCUGUAGGAUUCUUCCUUCUAAUUGAGUAAGUUGCAGCAUCUGUUUAACAGUUGUUAAAAAUCAGGUAAAAGGAACCGUAGAUUUUUAGCAUAAGGAAAGGCUGCAGAAUUAGGAUGCAAACAGGACCAGAGAAUCUGUGGCAUUUAAAAAAUAUCAUAUUGAUGAAGAACAACUCCAAUUUGGGCCCUCUAAGUCAGGGCCCUGAUAACCUGGAAAGCCGCUUUGUAGAAAUUGAAAAGGUCUGGAAAGGCGCAGCUUAUGGAGCACCUCUGAACAAGGGAGAGUCCUCCUGACAGAGAUCAGGGUGCAUGAAGAGGGAGUGCUGGAUGCAGUUUAGCUGGGCCCCCUUUGCCAGUGCCCUUUUAAAAUGUUCAGACUCUACUCUAUGGGCUAUAGCCCUGUCCAAGGUGAAAUACAGGAAGGUGACUACUGCUAACUACUGCAGGGUUCAUUAGGGCUUCCGAUAACCUAAGAAGAACGUGUAUGGGAAGCUCUUGAGUAGUACAGUUUAGGCCAGAGAUAGCCCCAGACUUCACAGGGCUUUCCACAUGGACUCUAGGUGGGAUUUAAGACUGGCAGAGAGAAGGAGUAAGGUUUGGGAAGCUGGCAUCUAUGACAGUGAAGCUGACCAGCUUCUUUUGGCUCUAAUGGCACCUUUCAUACUUUCCCUUUCCAUAAAUUUUUUUUUUCAUGAAUGUGCACACUAUAUAUAUAUACUUUGAUAUGUGUAUUAUUUCAUAAAAUAGUCAAAAGGAAUUUGAAUGUUUAUAUCAGUCUAGGUUUAUUUUGUUUUUCUCAUUUCCACCUUCUAAUAGUUAAGUAGCUCCUAUCAUUUCACAGUUAUGGCUAGCAAGUAGAAGAAUAAACAUAAUCUGAAACUGUUUUCACAGUA